rnacentral:tRNA from 2 species
GGUUUUGUGGUUGAAGUGACAACGUCAAAUUGCAAGUUUGAAGGUGUGCGUUAGAGUUGCUCCAGAACUU